rnacentral:rRNA from 1 species
CCCUUAGAUGUUCUGGGCCGCACGCGCGCUACACUGACAGGGCCAGCGAGUACAUCACCUUGGCCGAGAGGUCUGGGUAAUCUUGUUAAACCCUGUCGUGCUGGGGAUAGAGCAUUGCAAUUAUUGCUCUUCAACGAGGAAUGCCUAGUAAACGCAAGUCAUCAGCUUGCAUUGAUUACGUCCCUGCCCUUUGUACACACCGCCCGUCGCUCCUACCGAUUGAAUGAUCCGAUGAAUAUCAUGGAUUGAGGAUGCAAGUAGGUUCGCCUAUCUUCAUCUUCGAGAAGUGAAGUAAAUCUUAUCAUUUAGAGGAAGGAGAAGUCGUAACA